ACCGGCAGCUAAAGUGGUGGCCAUUAUUAUUGGGCGUAAAGCGCGCGCAGGUGGUUAUAUAAGUCUGAUUUUAAAGUUCGGGGCUCAACCCCGUGAUGGAUUGGAAACUGUAUAACUUGAGUACAGUAGAGGUAAGCGGAAUUCCCAGUGUAGCGGUGAAAUGCGUAGAUAUUGGGAGGAACACCAGUGGCGAAGGCGGCUUACUGGGCUGUAACUGACACUGAGGCGCGAAAGCCAGGGGAGCAAAUGG
rnacentral:rRNA from 1 species